AUGAGAGUUAAAUGGGACAUCCCCAAGGAAGUUGAGUUCAGACGAACGGGAGAGGAUUGGCUUGAGAACCUCCUUCUGCCACAAUCAGCUAGCAUCAGAAGCAAUAUCCUGUUAAUACUGUGGAAAGCCUGGAGCCUCAGGAACAACACCAUCCUUGGGGAUGGGAAGGAUACUGUCACGGGAGCAGUGCAUCAACUCCUCAGACUGGGCGAAGAUUUGCUAACGGCUGAACAGGUAGCCAAUGUGCCUCAUAGCAAGCAAGCAACCACACUUUUUGAUCAGAGGACAUCCAAGCUUGUACCCCUGAAAAAUAAUCGCUGGAUAGCACCAGCAGUUGGGUAUGUAAAAAUCAACUGUGAUGCCGUCUUUCUUAAAGAUUCUGGGGAUACUUGGGGAGGAGCAGUAGCUCGAGACCAUCGGGGUUCUGUCCACUUGUCUGUCGGACGACGGCUAAACCAGUGUAGCUCGGUAGAAGAGGCAGAGGCAGCUGCUGCACUGAUGGGGAUGUCUAAACUGUCGAACGUGUAUGGGGGACCUAUAAUCCUGGAGGUGGAUUGCGCUGCAGUGGGCCGGAACUUGCUCUCGGCGGAUUCCUGCAAGUCGUCUUGCUAUGCAACCAUAGCUGACAUAAAGAAAACCUCAAAUGCCUUCCAAAGGUUCGAGGUCAGGGUGAUUAACAGAGCUCAGAACGAGCUGGCUCACUAG
rnacentral:rRNA from 1 species